GAUAGAAUAAUGUAGGUAAGGGAAGUCGGCAAAACGGAUCCGUAACUUCGGAACAAGGAUUGGCUCUAAGGGCUGGGCCGAUCGGGCUGAGGUUUCAAGCGUGCAGUGUAUGCUUGGCUGAGUUGUGUUGAGGACUUGUUCACUUGCCGCCGUUUGUUCGGUUGGUCUAGUGUAUUCGAGUCUGAAGCAGAGCUGGCCGACAGACCGGCACGUGCAGAACCUGAGCUGCGCGGCUGUCCGUUUACGUGUACAGACCGUUUCGGUCGGCAUUCAACAGCCAACUUAGAACUGGCACGGACACAAGGAAUCUGACUGUAUAAUUAAAACAAAGCAUUGCGAUGGCCGAUGAUCGGUGAUGACGCAAUGUGAUUUCUGCCCAGUGCUCUGAAUGUCAAAGUGAAGAAAUUCAAUCAAGCGCGGGUAAACGGCGGGAGUAACUAUGACUCUCUUCUGGCGUGCGGCGGCCUAAUUUCUAUCGCUCUCUCGCUGAAAGAAAUCGCUGCGUAAGUCAGUAUUUUUUCAUAGUCUUUCGGUCUCUUAGGGUCUUCUAAAUGGGAAAGCAGUCUCGUCCUGCACAGGAAAAGUCUUCUACUGCUGCAGGGUCUGACGGGCAAGCCCGAUCAGACAGGGGAAGGCGGAACCACGCCGAAGUUCUCUAUCCGGGACCGUUCAAAUGCACUAUAUGCACGUUUACCGAGUGUGUUUACUCACGGUUUAGUAAUCACUGCAUGAAACACGGCUUGCACUUAGAGUUACACUGUAGUAUUUGCACCAAAAUGUUCCCCAGCAUAUACUCUGUCGCAUGCCACUAUUCACGAUGCGCAAAAACCCUUAGGAACCUUGAAAAUCCUGAAAUUCCAUCCGGGUCCCAUUUAAAUGACCUACAUUCUAAUGACCUAGCAGAGAACAAAGAGAUUAGCAAGAACAAAGAAAACAAUAAAAAGGUCAAAAGGGCAAAGGUCAAAAGGUCAAGCGUUAAUGUAAACAACUUGGAGGGGUCAUUAUCUAACAAUGAAGCCCCAGAGAACAAUAGGAUGGUAACUAGGUCAACCAUCAAAAGGGCAACUGUUGUGGACAGCCGGUCGGCGCCUCCUUUGUUAGAUAGACCCCCUGUUGAGAGACCAGAGAUCAAGCUUGUUUGCGCAACAAUAGAUAAUAGGCGCCAGAAGUCAACAGCCGCGUCGGCGCCUUUGAACAUUGUCGGCAUUUGCCAGCCAUUGUUCGAAGCGCCAGACGACAAUGCAGCUGUUGUUUCUAACAAUUGCGCAGUUUCUGAGAUCAAAGAAAUGCCGCCGGCGCGGAUAAACAUGCGUUUAAGAUCUAGGAAAGCAUGUGGAAACAUCUUAGAGCCGCCGCGCCCUCCCAGAACAUCACAGUCGGCAUCUGAAAGCCAUGACGGGUCUCAACCUUGCCCAGGGUCUAGCGCAGCAAGCACCAACUCUCCACGCGCGUCUAUUAGCCAGCCCGCAAGCACUAACGCACAAGGCACGCAUGUCUGCUCAGUUUGCUCACGCGCCUUUAACUCUUUCCCUGGGUUGCGUCUGCAUGAGAAAAGAGCGCACCCCGCCACCUUCGCCGCGUCUUCCCAAAAGUCCGUAAAACAUCUAUGGACUAUCGACCACCUGCGCGAAGUGAAGGAAGUUGAGGAAAUGCUGGCCGCUAAUAACAGUCGGUCAGUAAAGGCCUUAGCCGAAGCGCUAUCUCGCAAGUGGUCCGAGGACAUAUCCAUGGAUAUGGCCAAAUACCUACGGAAGAAGCUACGCGCGGUGGACCUAAAUUCAGCACAGCCUACUAACACAGCACUCACUGACGGUGUCAACAGUCCCAGGGAGGGGCCCGAGAACACAACUGAGGAGGGUGAGAGCCUAAACAAUGGCUCUCAGGUCGUAGGCACGGAAAUCAUGGGACCAGAGCGCCUCCCGGAGUGCGACUCUCUUCAGACGCACUCGGCGAACGCGGAUCUGAGUAACCCAUGCCCACAACAUCCCGAUGGCUUGCUAAGCGAGCAGGGAUUGGAUCGGGACCAAUGGGGUGUACUCCGUAAGCACCUGGAGGACGGCUUGGCCUCCUGCAAUAGUGAGUUGGAAGGGCUUUUAAAUUUUAUUAUUAAUAAAAUAUUAAAUAGUGGGUCUGAGGACCGUAACAAACUUGUUGACGCUGCUAUCAGCGUACUUAUCGAGUUCCUGGGUGAACCUAAAAGUCAUCAACCCCCACCCCCCCGGAAGAAGCGUACUAGGGAAGAACCGAAGAACCGAAGACAGAAGAUCCGAAGCAAGUACGCGCAAAUGCAAACGCUCUUCAAGCGUGACCCCAAAAGAGUUGCGGCCCACCUUAUUAAGAAUCAGCCCCUCUGUAAUGUAAGUUGCCCCAUCGAUGCCGCAGAGUCCGCUCUGCGACAAAGAUUGAGUCAACGUCCCGGCGUAGACGCAGCGCCCUUUACUUCCAAAUGUCCCCAAAACUCCAAGAAUAUCCUGGACCCAAUUUUCCCGGAGGAGGUUACGCUGCACCUCCAAAACAUGAAGCUACAAACGUCAGCAGGCCCUGACGGAAUAAAGGUGUCGCAUCUUCGCUCGUGCGACCCGGUGUGUCUAGCGAAGGCCUUCAACCUCUUUCUUCUCGCUAGACACAUCCCCCAGCAACUCAAGGAUUGUCGGACGUCCCUCAUUCCCAAAACCGACGAUCCCCGCCCCGAUGCUGAAGACUACCGGCCGAUAACAGUCGCUUCCUGUUUAUACCGGCUCUUCAGCAAAAUUGUAACGAGGCGGUUAGAAGACUCCCUUUCCCUCCAUCCACGUCAAAAGGCUUUCCGGUCAGGCACGGACGGCGCUUUUGACAACACAUCCACACUGAUGACUGUCAUUAGGGAGGCACACAGCUGCGGUAAGGAGCUGAACAUCGUCAGCAUAGACCUCGCCAAAGCCUUUGACACCGUCAACCACACUUCCAUCACCAGGGCACUCCGCAUGCAUGGUCUGGAUGAUGAAUCACGCACAUUAAUCACAGAAAUGGUGACUGGGAGCAGUACCAUCAUAAAAGGAGAUGGAGGGGCACUUAGCAAUAGGAUCGAGAUUAAUCAGGGAGUCCGCCAGGGAGACCCCAUUUCCCCCUUGCUCUUCAACGCCGUCAUGGACGAGUUGGUAGAGCGCCUGGAACAAACUGGAGAGGGUUUUAAAUUAAAGGGAGUCGAGGUUACAACACUGGCGUUUGCGGACGACGUAACACUUAUAAGCCGAAGCCACAGGGGAAUGGAGAAGUUACUCUCCACCACCCUGGACUUCCUUAACGAGAGGGGCCUAAAACUGAACAUCAGUAAAUGCAAAGGUAUCCGCCUCGUCCGCACGCCCAAAACCAAAUCCUUAGUAGAAGAUACCUCCAAACCGUUCAGGGUCCCCAGUUUUGGAGAGGAAAACCAGCACAUCCCCAUGGUGCUCCCGGGAGAUUUAAUUAAAUUCCUUGGCAUAGACAUCACCCUCAAUGGCAAGCCCCAUUUCGACUUAGCCCCCCUGGAAGCUACCCUUGAGCGAAUUCGUAAGGCCCCCCUAAAACCCGCACAGAAACUUGCCACUGUGCGGGACUACCUGAUUCCAUCCUUGGAAUACAGAUUGGGAGUCCCCGGGAUUUCUAGGAAACUCUUGGAGAGUGUCGAUGGGGCAAUCAGGCUAACCGUAAAACGUUUCUUGCACCUUCCACUCACAGGCAUGAAUAGCAUGUUUUUGUCCAUGCCCGUCAAGGAGGGAGGACUAGGAUUGCGUUCUCUCUCGACGCAACACAUUGCACGACUGGCCGUAGGCACUAACAGCAUGUCCAUCAGCACAGACACCGUCUCUAGGGUUGUGGCUGACACCACAACCCUGCGAAAGCCCUUGCUCUCGGCCCUAGAGCACUUUGCAGUCCCCACAGCUACCAAAAGUGCUAUCCGGGAAGGAAAGCGCAACCUCCUUCGGGCGGAGAUCGCUCAGCUCUCGGAGACGUACCAAGGCAGCUGUCUUCCAUCCUUUAAACAUGGGUCUCUGGUUAACUCCUGGCUGCGUGGCACUAGUGGCAUGCGUAGUCGGGAUUACAUCACCGGGUUGAAACUGCGGUUCGGAGUUAUCGAGACGCGCAGUCAGAAGUGGAGGGGCCGAACUCCACAGAACCCGGACGCGUUGCUGUGUAGGCACUGUGGUCACUCCUCCGGUAACCGGGAGACAGCCGCACAUGUCUCACAGAAGUGUCUCGUGACACACGCGCUGAUCGUCCAGAGACAUAACAAGAUCAUGCGUCUUGUUGGGGACCGUGCGAAGGAUGAAGGCUUCGCAGUGCAUGUUGAGACGGCGAUUAAGUCAGGGGAGGAGGUUUACAAGCCUGACUUAAUACUCAUCAAAGACGACACCGCACACAUAUUAGACGUUGCAGUGCCAUGGGAAAAAGGCACAAAUAUGCAUGAAAAGCACGAAAGGAAAACUAACAAGUACGCACAACUGGUAGGGGACGUCAAGGCCCUCUUUGGCGUUCAAAACUGCACGGUAGGGGCUUUAGUAAUCGGCGCGCGCUCCAGCUGGUGCCCAAGCAAUGACGGAUCUCUUAAGGCAUGCGGUUUGCACCUGCCCAAGAAGUUCAAGAGAUUACUCUGCAGGGUUGCACUCGAAGGCACCUGCAGAAUAUUUCGGAACUUCUUCACACGCACAUAAGCACCUAAGGACAAAAUCAAAAAAAAAAUUGAUAAAAUACAAAAAACCAAAAACACUAUAAAACCCAAAUAAAACAAAAAAAAUGGCCUUGCAUGUUACCUUGCAUGCUGCCGCCGCCCCACCAGCUCCAUCCUCGGGAGCAUAGGGCAGCGGCACACCUAACACUACUUUUAGGCCUGACGGAGAAGACCUGAAGACCGAAGACAACCACCCCUGCGCUGAGUCCCGGCAGAGACCCAAACACUCGCCGCCGCUCGAAGAAGAAAACACAGAAGAACGGAACACUGCGGAACAGACAGAACCAUGUACGACACCCCAAACUCUGCGAAC
rnacentral:ncRNA from 1 species